AAAUGAAUUGACGGGGGCCCGCACAAGCGGUGGAACAUGUGGUUUAAUUCGAAGCUACGCGAAAAACCUCACCAGGGCUUGACAUACAGGAAGUAGUGAAGUGAAAGCGGAACGACCCGUUAAGUCGGGAGCCUGAACAGGUGCUGCAUGGCUGUCGUCAGCUCGUGUCGUGAGAUGUUGGGUUAAGUCCCGCAACGAGCGCAACCAUUGUCAUUUGUUGCCACUUUAUCUGUCUUUGACAGGUAGAAGCACUCUAAUGAGACUGCCCGGGAUAACCGGGAGGAAGGUGGAGAUGACGUCAAGUCAGUACGGCCUUUAUGCCCUGGGCGACACACGUGUUACAAUGGGUAGGACAAAGGGUUGCCAACCAGCGAUGGGGAGCUAAUCUCAAAAACCUACCCCCAGUUCAGAUUGGAGUCUGCAAUUCGACUCCAUGAAGCCGGAAUCGCUAGUAAUGGCAGAUCAGCACGCUGCCGUGAAUACGUUCCCGGGCCUUGUACACACCGCCCGU
rnacentral:rRNA from 1 species